AAACACUCUCGCUGUAAACCCAAGGUUUUCGAUGUCAAGUUAAGCUGCGUCGAAGAGAAAUUCAAAAAUAAAAACGGCCCCUAAGAAUAUAGUGAAAACUCAUUUUGAUGGGAAACAAUAUAC
rnacentral:rRNA from 1 species